UACGAAGGGGGCUAGCGUUGUUCGGAUUUACUGGGCGUAAAGCGCACGCAGGCGGUCCGUUAAAUAAGGAGUGAAAGCCCUGGGCUCAACCCGGGAAUUGCUCUUUAGACUGGCGGACUAGAAUCCAGAAGAGGGUAGUGGAAUUCCCAGUGUAGAGGUGAAAUUCGUAGAUAUUGGGAAGAACACCAGUGGCGAAGGCGACUGCCUGGUCUGGCAUUGACGCUCAUGUGCGAAAGCGUGGGGAGCAAACAGG
rnacentral:rRNA from 1 species